rnacentral:rRNA from 1 species
UAGGGUUCGAUUCUGGCUCAGAACGUACGCUGGCGGCACGCCUAACACAUGCAAGUCGAACGAAGUAGCAAUACUUAGUGGCGAACGGGUAAGUAUAAUGUGGAUAUCUGCCUUUUGGUUUGGAAUAACACGGGGAAACUUGUGCUAAUACCGGAUAAGCCUUCACAGGGAAAGUUUUAACGCCAAAAGAUGAGUCCGCACUUGAUUAGCUAGUUGGUAAGGUAAAGGCUUACCAAGGCUACGAUCAAUAGCUGAUCUGAGAGGAUGAUCAGCCACAUUGGGACUGAGACACGGCCCAAACUCCUACGGGAGGCAGCAGUGGGGAAUCUUGCACAAUGGGGGAAACCCUGAUGCAGCGAUGCCGCGUGGGUGAAGAAGGCCUUUGGGUUGUAAAGCUCUUUCGUCGGGGAAGAAAAUGACUGUACCCGAAUAAGAAGGUCCGGCUAACUUCGUGCCAGCAGCCGCGGUAAUACNAAGGGACCUAGCGUAGUUCGGAAUUACUGGGCUUAAAGAGCUCGUAGGUGGUUAGAAAAGUUGGUGGUGAAAUCCCAAGGCUUA